rnacentral:rRNA from 1 species
GACGAACGCUGGCGGCGUGCCUAAUACAUGCAAGUUGAGCGCUGAAGGUUGGUACUUGUACCAACUGGAUGAGCAGCGAACGGGUGAGUAACGCGUGGGGAAUCUGCCUUUGAGCGGGGGACAACAUUUGGAAACGAAUGCUAAUACCGCAUAAAAACUUUAAACACAAGUUUUAAGUUUGAAAGAUGCAAUUGCAUCACUCAAAGAUGAUCCCGCGUUGUAUUAGCUAGUUGGUGAGGUAAAGGCUCACCAAGGCGAUGAUACAUAGCCGACCUGAGAGGGUGAUCGGCCACAUUGGGACUGAGACACGGGCCAAACUCCUACGGGAGGCAGCAGUAGGGAAUCUUCAGCAAUGGACGAAAGUCUGACCGAGCAACGCCGCGUGAGUGAAGAAGGUUUUCGGAUCGUAAAACUCUGUUGGUAGAGAAGAACGUUGGUGAGAGUGGAAAGCUCAUCAAGUGACGGUAACUACCCAGAAAGGGACGGCUAACUACGUG